AGAUCUGACUUACCUUCCACCUUGGCUUCCUCCACUGCGGUCACCUCCACAGGCCAAUCGGUGGCACGCUCCUCCGCGGUCACCUCCACUGCCUCACCAACUGACUCCACACCAGCAGGGGGAGCCUCUAAUUCCACCACAGAUGCAGCCUCUACAACCUCCACAGGGGUGACUGCCACAGCAGUCUCAACUGGGGGAGCCUCAGAAGCUGGGGCUUCACAUUGGUGGCAUGAAGUGAAGAGGGGCUCCUUGACUUCCUCAGCCGGGGCUGCCUCUGCCUCCACUGCCACAACAUCUAGGGCUGAGGCUGCUGCCAGCAUUGCCGCCUCCACGACGAGCGCCUCAUCCUCAGACACUUGGGCUGUCUCCACAGCCUCCUUUGCCGCUGCCGGUUCCUCCGCUGCUGGGGCUUCCUCCACUGGGGCUUCCUCCACUGGGGCUUCCUCCACUACUACUGCUACCUCUUCGGCUGCAGGUACCUCUGCCUCAACUGGCGCUGCCUCUUCGACUGGGGCAGCCUCUUCUGGGGAAAAUCCCUCUACUGCUGGUGCUUCUACUAUUGGUCCCUCCUUGGCAGAAGCCUCAGGUACUUCCACAGCGGCAGAAGCCUCAGGUACUUCCACAGCGGCAGAAGCCUCAGGUACUUCCACAGCGGCAGAAGCCUCAGGUACUUCCACAGCGGCAGAAGCCUCAGGUACUUCCACAGCGGCAGAAGCCUCAGGAACUUCCACAGAGGCAGAAGCCUCAGGUACUUCCACAGCGGCAGAAGCCUCAGGUACUUCCACAGCGGCAGAAGCCUCAGGUACUUCCACAGCGGCAGAAGCCUCAGGUACUUCCACAGCGGCAGAAGCCUCAGGUACUUCCACAGCGGCAGAAGCCUCAGGUACUUCCACAGCGGCAGAAGCCUCAGGUACUUCCACAGCGGCAGAAGCCUCAGGUACUUCCACAGCGGCAGAAGCCUCAGGUACUUCCACAGCGGCAGAAGCCACAGGUACUUCCACAGCGGCAGAAGCCUCAGGUACUUCCACAGCGGCAGAAGACUCAGGUACUUCCACAGCGGCAGGGAGCUCUGGGGCCUCUAGGGGAAGUGCAGCCGUCUCCUCCUCUGCAACAGCAGCUGGAGCCUCCUCUACGGCGACCGGAACUACUUCCUCUGGCUCAGGGGUUGCCUCAGCAACCACUUCCUCUGUGACAUCAGGGGCAGCAACAACAGCCUCCUCUUCUGGUUCUUCAGUUUCCACGACAGCUGCUUCUGCAGCUAAUGCUUCUACUUCCAAUUCCUCCUCCACAGAUACUACUUCCUGCUCUACCUUAGCUUUAGGAACCUCCAGUGAUUCUAGAAUGUCCUCGGCGGGAGCGAGCAAGGAUUCUUCAGUCCGGUCUUCUUGGUGUUGGACGGCGGGCAUGAGCCUCCUCUCGGCUACCGAGGCAGCAGCGAUCUCAGAGCUGGCCAGGAGCUUCAUGGAGGCAGACGUGAUGUCAGACACAGCAUCUAAAAAGAGAAGCAACAGUCAUGUUAGUCUUGCAAGAAAAACAAAAAGGAUGCCUGUAUAUUGCAGAAACACUUUGGUGAGCUUUUCAGAAAAGUAUUUACAAAAAUAUUGUAUUUUCAAAGGAUGGAGCAGAUCAGCAGAUAUCAUACUAAAUCAGUCAUAA
rnacentral:lncRNA from 1 species